rnacentral:rRNA from 1 species
GACGAACGCGGCGGCGUGCUUAACACAUGCAAGUCGAACGAAGAGAGAUGGAAGCUUGCUUCUAUGGAUCUUAGUGGCGAACGGGUGAGUAACGCGUAAUCAACCUGCCCUUCAGAGGGGGACAACAGUUGGAAACGACUGCUAAUACCGCAUACGAUCCAAUCUCGGCAUCGAGAGUGGAUGAAAGGUGGCCUCUAUUUAUAAGCUAUCACUGAAGGAGGGGAUUGCGUCUGAUUAGCUAGUUGGAGGGGUAACGGCCCACCAAGGCGAUGAUCAGUAGCCGGUCUGAGAGGAUGAACGGCCACAUUGGGACUGAGACACGGCCCAGACUCCUACGGGAGGCAGCAGUGGGGAAUCUUCCGCAAUGGACGAAAGUCUGACGGAGCAACGCCGCGUGAGUGAUGACGGCCUUCGGGUUGUAAAGCUCUGUUAAUCGGGACGAAUGGUUCUUGUGCGAAUAAUGCGAGGA